rnacentral:rRNA from 1 species
UACAGAGGGUGCGAGCGUUAAUCGGAAUUACUGGGCGUAAAGGGCGCGUAGGCGGCCUGUUAAGUCGAACGUGAAAUCCCCGGGCUCAACCCGGGAACUGCGUCCGAUACUGGCAGGCUUGAAUUCGGGAGAGGGAUGCGGAAUUCCAGGUGUAGCGGUGAAAUGCGUAGAUAUCUGGAGGAACACCGGUGGCGAAGGCGGCAUCCUGGACCGAGAUUGACGCUGAUGCGCGAAAGCCAGGGGAGCAAACGGG